CAGCAGUCGGGAAUAUUGGACAAUGGGCGAAAGCCUGAUCCAGCAAUACCGCGUGUGUGAAGAAGGCCUGCGGGUUGUAAAGCACUUUCAGUAGGGAAGAUAAUGACGUUACCUACAGAAGAAGCACCGGCUAACUCCGUGCCAGCAGCCGCGGUAAUACGGAGGGUGCAAGCGUUAAUCGGAAUUACUGGGCGUAAAGCGCACGUAGGCGGCUGUUUAAGUCGGAUGUGAAAGCCCCGGGCUCAACCUGGGAACUGCAUCCGAUACUGGGCAGCUAGAAUUUGGGAGAGGCGAGUGGAAUUUCCGGUGUAGCGGUGAAAUGCAUAGAGAUCGGAAGGAACACCAGUGGCGAAGGCGACUCGCUGGACCAAAAUUGACGCUGAGGUGCGAAAGCGUGGGUAGCAAACAGGAUUAGAUACCCUGGUAGUCCACGCCGUAAACGAUGUCAACUAGCCGUUGGUUCCAUUCAAGGGAUCAGUGGUGCAGCUAACGCAUUAAGUUGACCGCCUGGGGAGUACGCGCGCAAGCGUAAACUUA
rnacentral:rRNA from 1 species